rnacentral:rRNA from 1 species
UACGGAGGGUGCAAGCGUUAAUCGGACUUACUGGGCGUAAAGCGUACGUAGGUGGACAUAUAAGUCAGAUGUGAAAUCCCCAAGCUCAACUUGGGAACUGCAUCUGAUACUGUCUGUCUCGAGUACAGUAGAGGGAAGAGGAAUUUCUGGUGUAGCGGUGAAAUGCGUAGAUAUCAGAAAGAACAUCAGUGGCGAAGGCGUCUUCCUGGACUGAUACUGACACUGAGGUACGAAAGCGUGGGUAGCGAACAGG